rnacentral:rRNA from 1 species
UACGUAGGGUGCGAGCGUUUAAUCGGAAUUACUGGGCGUAAAGCGUGCGCAGGCGGUCUGUUAAGACCGAUGUGAAAUCCCCGGGCUUAACCUGGGACUGACAUUGGUGACUGGCAGGCUUUGAGUGUGGCAGGAGGGAGGUAGAAUUCCACGUGUAGCAGUGAAAUGCGUAGAGAUGUGGAGGAACACCGAUGGCGAAGGCAGCCCCCUGGGUCAAGAUUGACGCUCAUGCACGAAAGCGUGGGGAGCAAACAGG